rnacentral:lncRNA from 1 species
GGACCGUGUGGAGAGUGCGGGCGCUGGACAGCAGCUCCGGCCCCUCACCGACGCGCAGCCCGCGCCUGGGCCGACCUGUUGACUGAAAAUCAGCCGGCGCUUGGCCAGAUGCGUCGAUGGAGGCCCGCAGCCCAGCGACGACGUGGUAGUCAUGGCUGAAGCGGCGCCUGCCCCGCCAAAUGCAGAGAAGAGCUCAUACCUCUAUUCCAUAGAAAUCACACUGUGGACCGUGGUGCCUGCUGUUCAGGCCUUGGAGAAGAAAAGUGGAUUCUUGCCUGGCCCGCUUGCUGACUCUGGAGGGAUGCUCAGGGACAGCAGAGAAGAAGCUGGCUGACUGUGAGAAGACAGCUGUGGAGUUCAGCAGCCAGCUGGAGGGCAAGUUGGCCGUGCUGGGGACCCUGCCUCAGGAGUCUAGGCUGCUGCAUGAAGAACCUCAUGGGCAACUGGAACUUCUGGGUCCAGCGGCUUCCCCCUGGCAACAAGGGGGAGGUCCCCAAGGUAUUUCUCUGAGUCCAGAGCAGGCCCCAAGUCCAGCUAGCCCUGCCCAGGAGGAACUGAAUCAAAGGCAGACACCUGAGCAGCAGCAAGAGGAAGCAACCAUGAUUCCACCUGAGCCAGGCACUGGGAUUCCAGCAAGCACCAGCCCUUUAUCACUUAAACAGGAGGAAGAAUCUGCAGAGGGAGGAGAGUUGCCACCCUCCCCUUCCACAGAUAGCCUGCUUUCUGUGGAGCCAGGGAAGUCCAGCCCUGCAAGGGCCCAGCUCUGAACAGGACAGGACCUGCACUGUCUCAGGGCCUUUCCCUUGUGCCUGCCAAGUGGUGGAAGUUCCUUCACUUUCCAGCUGAGUUGGUACUUUAGGGGCCCUUCAAAAGCACAAGCUCCAGACCAGGAAUUUGAGGUGAUAGUGUCAUGCCUCAAAGUCAUGAGAGCGGGUGCUUCAUGUGCCUCUUUGUCACAGCACCUUGGGGACAGCCUUGUGGAGCUUCUGGAGCUGGGUGAUGGAUUCCAAUUCUGAUAGUUUGCUCUCUUGUUUGGCACUCAGACACCAGAGCACAUGAAGGCUCCCAGGUGCCUUCAUCCCUGGCUGUGCUAUUGCUAAAGUCCUGCAGACUCUGUAGCCACUCAGAAGUCCUGCACAGACGAGGCAGAGGGUGACACUGCCGUCAUUCCCAGGGUAGGGGUAUGACUGGCAAGACUGUGGCAUGCAGCCAUGGUUCUGGACGUUACUUGCCUGCACACCCAACCGUUGUUUAGGCCCUGCAAGCAAGACAGCAGUUGUCAGUAAGCGCUCAGACUGAACGUGGACAGUAUAGCUGCCCCAAACUUAAUCCUCCGCUGCAAGCACUCAUGUUGCUGUUCUGGGGGUUCCUAGGCCUCUCUUCUAAUGCUUUAGAUGUUCUCUGGAAAACAAGUAUUCAUAUUUGAAGCACAAAUCCAAGUGCUGGGGUGGGGGAAGAGGCGCUGUAUAAUCCUGGCUCGCCUUGGGCUUGCAGUGAAUUUUUUUCCCCUACCUCUAUCUACCUACUAGGAUUUCCUUGCUUGUGCCAUUAUGCACAACUGGGCUUACUGCAUUUAACCUGAAAUUCAAUAGGACAGGUUAAAGAGUAUUUUGAGUUAAGAAUGAACAAAGGCUGCAUGGUUGCCUGAGCUCAAAGACGUUGGAUCCCAGAUUCUGAUGACUUAUUUUGUAAAACAAAGAUAUGGUUGGGUUGGUUACAAGGCCCUAAGAACCAUGGAGGUGGAAAUAUUAACUUAAUCGGUGCUCUAUAAAUACACUGGAAAAUGUA